AGAAGAAAUGCCUCAAAACAUUUCUCAACAGACUGAUGUGUCAUCAUGUGGCGUGUUUGUUUGCAAGUAUGCAAAAUGCUGUGUUUUGGGUCAAAGUCUUAAC